rnacentral:rRNA from 1 species
ACGGAAGGCAGCAGUGGGGAAUAUUGCACAAUGGGGGAAACCCUGAUGCAGCGACGCCGCGUGAACGAAGAAGUAUUUCGGUAUGUAAAGUUCUAUCAGCAGGGAAGAAAAUGACGGUACCUGCAUAAGAAGCCCCGGCUAACUACGUGCCAGCAGCCGCGGUAAUACGUAGGGGGCAAGCGUUAUCCGGAUUUACUGGGUGUAAAGGGAGUGUAGGUGGUCGGGCAAGUCUGAUGUGAAAGCCCGCGGCUCAACCGCGGGACUGCAUUGGAAACUGUCCGACUGGAGUGCAGGAGAGGAAAGCGGAAUUCCUAGUGUAGCGGUGAAAUGCGUAGAUAUUAGGAAGAACACCAGUGGCGAAGGCGGCUUUCUGGACUGUAACUGACACUGAGGCUCGAAAGCGUGGGGAGCAAACAGGAUUAGAUACCCUGGUA